CCUGACCCGAGGCCCGAGCGGGGCGGGGGCGAGGAUCCGACACUGUGCUCAGCUGCUUUCCAGCUUCUGAAAACACCUCGCAUCCCUCUAUGGCAGGAGACUUUCUUGGGUCAGGCAAGUGUGAGGUGAAAAGAAGGCACUAAUGUGGACACACAGCUGAAAAAAGUCUUGAGCAGAAUGUGUUCAACUUCCUGCUUCUCUGACCAUGAUCCUUCCUGACUCUUGGAACCUGAGACUGUCUGGCCUGCUGUCAGCCUCAAAGGGCUGUCCUUAGAAUUAAAUAAAUAAAUAAAGAUGCAAACACUGUGUCUUAGAAGAAUGUCUGCCACGUGAUAUUAGAUCAUGCUCUCCGCUGGGGUUCUGCACACCAUCCAACGGUGUCCACUGAACUUCCUUUUGCUUUUUGCUUUGUUUUUAUUCUUCCCUGGGAAAAAAAUAAAAUAAAAUUGGGUAGAAGACA